rnacentral:rRNA from 1 species
CCUACGGGAGGCAGCAGUGGGGAAUCUUGCGCAAUGGACGAAAGUCUGACGCAGCGACGCCGCGUGGGUGAUGAAGGCCUUCGGUUGUAAAGCCCUGGGGGAGAAUAACCGGUAUCUCCUUAGCAAGCACCGGCUAACUCUGUGCCAGCAGCCGCGGUAAGACAGAGGGUGCAAACGUUGUUCGGAAUUACGGGCGUAAAGCGUGUGUAGGCGGCCACGUAAGUCGGAUGUGAAAGCCCCAGGCUCAACCUGGGAAGUGCACUCGAUACUGCGUGGCUUGAGUAUCGGAGAGGUUGGUGGAAUUCUCGGUGUAGAGGUGAAAUUCGUAGAUAUCGAGAGGAACACCGGUGGCGAAGCGGCCAACUGGACGAAACUGACGCUGAGACACGAAAGCGUGGGGAGCAAACAGGAUUAGAUACCCUUGUAGUC